CCAACAGGGAUUGCCCUAGCAACGGCGAGUGAAGCGGCAACAGCUCAAAUUUGAAAUCUGGCGCAAGCCCGAGUUGUAAUUUGUAGAGGAUGCUUCUGGGUAGCGGCCGGUCUAAGUUCCUUGGAACAGGACGUCAUAGAGGGUGAGAAUCCCGUAUGUGACUGGUUGGCCGCCCUCCACGUAGCUCCUUCGACGAGUCGAGUUGUUUGGGAAUGCAAGCUCUAAAUGGGUGGUAAAUUUCAUCUAAAGCUAAAUACCGGCCAGAGACCGAUAGCGCACAAGUAGAGUGAUCGAAAGAUGAAAAGCACUUUGGAAAGAGAGUUAAAAAGCACGUGAAAUUGUUGAAAGGGAAGCGCUU
rnacentral:rRNA from 1 species